GGACCGAGCUCCAAGAACCACUGUUCUAAGGCGCUCCUCCGGUGGAAGCAGUGGUUAUGCAUUUGAGGUGUUGAAGGAUGCAAGGAAUCUCUCAUUGCACGGACCCUCUGUGUGUUACAAGCCCUUCUAAUAAUUUAAUCUGCUUGGACAGCAGCCCAUACUGGUG
rnacentral:lncRNA from 1 species